GAUCAUGGCUCAGGAUGAACGCUAGCUACAGGCUUAACACAUGCAAGUCGAGGGGAAACGACAUCGAAAGCUUGCUUUUGAUGGGCGUCGACCGGCGCACGGGUGAGUAACGCGUAUCCAACCUGCCCUAUACAGGGGGAUAACCCGGAGAAAUCCGGACUAAUACCCCAUAAUAUGGGCGCUCCGCAUGGAGAGUCCAUUAAAGAGAGCAAUCUUGGUUACAGACGAGCAUGCG
rnacentral:rRNA from 1 species